CAGCAUGGCAACUCGCCCAAGAUAACCACAGCCGGAUAUGUAAAAACACUGGUGGUAUGGUGUUGACUGGGGGAAAAGAUCAGAUGACACCAGGGUGCUGAGGCUUGAGAGUGAAGCCACGUUCUCCAAGCUCACACAGCAAAGACAUGGGGACACCAGGACUCCAUCUACUGCAGGUUGUCUGACUGGGAACCCCCAUGCACCUGGCAGGUGACAGAAACAGGAGGCAUGUGCUGGGUUUGGAAGAGACACCUGGUGCGAGAGAGCCCUGUGGAGCCAGAUGGGGCUGAAAACAAAUGUUGAAUGGGAGAAAAGUCAAGUUCCAGGGGCACUACAUGCAGCAGGAUAUGCUUUUUAGAAAAAGUCCAA